GUCAUCAAGUUUCUAAGUGCAAACGGUGAAUGCCUUGGCUUCUGGAGCCGAAGAAGGACGUAGAAAUCUGCGAUAAGCCUCGGGGAGUUGAUAAUCGAACUGUGAUCCGAGGAUUUCCGAAUGGGGAAACCCCGCCAGGCGUAGCAAUACGACCUGGUGACUCCCGCCUGAAUAUAUAGGGCGGGUAGAGGGAACGUGGGGAAGUGAAACAUCUCAGUACCCACAGGAAGAGAAAACAAUAGUGAUUCCGUCAGUAGUGGCGAGCGAACGCGGAUCAGGCCAAACCGAUCAUGUGUGAUAGCCGGCAGGCGUUGCAUGGUCGGGGUUGUGGGACUUCCAGGUAUCUCUGCCGAGAUACGCAUCGACGAGCGCGAUAUAGAUGAACGAUCUUGAAAGGUCGACCAUAGAGGGUGCCAGUCCCGUAAUUGAAAUGUCGCGCCGCGGUGGGAAGGAUCCCAAGUAGCACGGGGCCCGAGAAAUCCCGUGUGAAUCUGUCAGGACCACCUGAUAAGCCUAAAUACUCCCAGAAGACCGAUAGCGGACAAGUACCGUGAGGGAAAGGUGAAAAGUACCCCGGGAGGGGAGUGAAAUAGUACCUGAAACCGUUUGCAUACAAACCGUUGGAGCCUCCUUAGUAGGGGUGACAGCGUGCCUUUUGAAGAAUGAGCCUGCGAGUUAGCGAUAUGUGGCGAGGUUAACCCGAGUGGGGAAGCCGUAGCGAAAGCGAGUCUGAAUAGGGCGAUUCAGUCGCAUGUCCUAGACCCGAAGCGAAGUGAUCUAUCCAUGGCCAGGUUGAAGCGACGGUAAGACGUCGUGGAGGACCGAACCCACUUAGGUUGAAAACUGAGGGGAUGAGCUGUGGAUAGGGGUGAAAGGCCAAUCAAACUUCGUGAUAGCUGGUUCUCUCCGAAAUGCAUUUAGGUGCAGCGUUGCGUGUUUCUUGCCGGAGGUAGAGCUACUGGAUGGCCGAUGGGCCCCAAAAGGUUACUGACGUCAGCCAAACUCCGAAUGCCGGUAAGUGAGAGCGCAGCAGUGAGACGGUGGGGGAUAAGCUUCAUCGUCGAGAGGGAAACAACCCAGACUACCAACUAAGGUCCCCAAGCGUGUGCUAAGUGGAAAAGGAUGUGGAGUUGCAGAGACAACCAGGAGGUUGGCUUAGAAGCAGCCACCCUUGAAAGAGUGCGUAAUAGCUCACUGGUCAAGUGAUUCCGCGCCGACAAUGUAACGGGGCUCAAGCACACCACCGAAGUUGUAGAUUUCGUACUAUAGGCAAGCCUUCGUGGUUCAGCCGUACGCGGGACCGUGAGUGGUAGGAGAGCGUCGUGUGGCAGUGAAGCGGCGGUGUGAACCAGCCGUGGAGCCUACACGAGUGAGAAUGCAGGCAUGAGUAGCGAAAGACGGGUGAGAAACCCGUCCGCCGAAUGAACAAGGGUUCCAGGGCCAGGUUAAUCCGCCCUGGGUAAGUCGGGACCUAAGGCGAGGCCGACAGGCGUAGUCGAUGGACAACGGGUUGAUAUUCCCGUACCGGCGAAGAACCGCCCAAGCCAAUCCAGUGGUGCUAAGAGUCCUAACCCGGAUGAGCGGAUCCCUUCGGGGGAUGAUGCGGUCCGUCUAACGCUCGACCCCAUGCUGGUGCGGCUAGCGUAUUAACAGGUUGUGACGCAGGAAGGUAGCUGAGCCGGGCGAUGGUUGUCCCGGUCUAAGGAUGUAGGGCGAGAGAUAGGCAAAUCCGUCUCUCAUAACGCCUGAGACCCGAUGGGUAGCCCGAAUGGGCGAAAUCAGUGAUCCUAUGCUGCCAAGAAAAGCAUCGACGCGAGGUUCUAGCCGCCCGUACCCCAAACCGACUCAGGUGUUCAGGUAGAGAAUACUAAGGCGAUCGAGAGAAUCGUGGUUAAGGAACUCGGCAAAAUGCCCCCGUAACUUCGGGAGAAGGGGGGCCUGAGGCGUAUUAGGACUUGCUCCGAAAGCGUUUGAAGGCCGCAGAGACCAGUGGGAAGCGACUGUUUACUAAAAACACAGGUCCGUGCCAAGUCGCAAGACGAUGUAUACGGACUGACGCCUGCCCGGUGCUGGAAGGUUAAGAGGAGCGGUUAGCGUAAGCGAAGCUGCGAAUUUAAGCCCCAGUAAACGGCGGUGGUAACUAUAACCAUCCUAAGGUAGCGAAAUUCCUUGUCGGGUAAGUUCCGACCUGCACGAAUGGCGUAACGACUUCCCAGCUGUCUCAACCGCGAACUCGGCGAAAUUGCACUACGAGUAAAGAUGCUCGUUACGCGCAGAAGGACGGAAAGACCCCGUGACCUUUACUACAGCUUGGUAUUGGUGUUCGGUGUGGCUUGUGUAGGAUAGGUGGGAGACUGUGAAGCGGGCACGCUAGUGUUCGUGGAGUCAUUGUUGAAAUACCACUCUGGUCAUAUUGGAUAUCUAACGACGAACCGUGAUCCGGUUCUCGGACAGUGCCUGGUGGGUAGUUUAACUGGGGCGGUUGCCUCCCAAAAAGUAACGGAGGCGCCCAAAGGUUCCCUCAACCUGGUUGGCAAUCAGGUGGCGAGUGUAAGUGCACAAGGGAGCUUGACUGUGAGACUGACAAGUCGAGCAGGGACGAAAGUCGGGACUAGUGAUCCGGCAGUGGCUUGUGGAAGCGCUGUCGCUCAACGGAUAAAAGGUACCUCGGGGAUAACAGGCUGAUCUUGCCCAAGAGUCCAUAUCGACGGCAUGGUUUGGCACCUCGAUGUCGGCUCGUCGCAUCCUGGGGCUGGAGUAGGUCCCAAGGGUUGGGCUGUUCGCCCAUUAAAGCGGUACGCGAGCUGGGUUUAGAACGUCGUGAGACAGUUCGGUCCCUAUCCUCUGCGCGCGCAGGAAAUUUGAGAAGAUCUAUCCCUAGUACGAGAGGACCGGGAUGGACGAACCUCUGGUGUGUCAGUUGUUCCGCCAGGAGCACCGCUGAUUAGCUACGUUCGGAAUGGAUAACCGCUGAAAGCAUCUAAGCGGGAAGCCAGCUUCAAGAUGAGAUUUCCAUACCCUUCGGGGUGAGAGGCUCCCAGCUAGACUACUGGGUUGAUAGGCAGGAUGUGGAAGCGAGGACUAACGACUCGUGCAGCUGACCUGUACUAAUAAGCCGAUAACUUGAUAACAC
rnacentral:rRNA from 1 species